rnacentral:sRNA from 1 species
CCGGGAAACCACCCCGCCUCUCCGAGGCCUCCCUGCCCCGCCCCGCCACGCCCCUUUCCCGGCGGGACGCUCUGAGCCGCCCCGAACUGAGCAGGGCGGUCGGGGGAGUCAUACUCCAUGGGUUUAUGUGAUAAAUGAUCUUGGCAUAGAAGAGAAUUUAAAGAAUGAUGGAAAACCUAAAUGUCAAACUGGUGGAAAAUCUAAGAGGACCAUUCAAGGCACUCAUAAAACUACUAAACAGAGUACUGCAGCGGACUGUAAAAUAACAUCGUCUACGACUGGAGAUAAACACUUUGAUAAAAGUCCCACUAAAACAAGGCACCCUCGGAAAAUUGAUCUAAGAGCUCGAUACUGGGCAUUUCUUUUUGAUAAUCUUCGCCGAGCAGUAGAUGAAAUCUAUGUAACUUGCGAAUCAGAUCAGAGUGUGGUCGAAUGUAAGGAGGUGCUAAUGAUGCUGGAUAACUAUGUAAGAGAUUUCAAAGCAUUGAUUGACUGGAUUCAGCUUCAGGAAAAGCUAGAGAAGACAGAUGCUCAAAGCAGACCAACAUCAUUGGCAUGGGAAGUAAAGAAGAUGUCUCCGGGACGCCAUGUGAUUCCAAGUCCAUCAACAGAUAGAAUAAAUGUAACAUCAAAUGCUCGACGAAGCUUAAAUUUUGGAGGUUCAACUGGCACAGUGCCAGCUCCUCGUCUGGCUCCCACAGGUGUCAGUUGGGCUGACAAGGUAAAGGCUCAUCAUACAGGCUCUACUGCUUCUUCAGAAAUAACACCCGCCCAGUCUUGCCCACCAAUGACAGUGCAGAAGGCCUCACGCAAAAAUGAACGGAAAGAUGCUGAAGGAUGGGAGACCGUUCAGAGAGGAAGGCCUAUUCGUUCUCGAUCAACAGCAGUGAUGCCAAAAGUUUCAUUGGCAACAGAAGCCACAAGAUCAAAGGAUGACAGUGAUAAAGAAAAUGUAUGUCUUUUACCUGAUGAAAGCAUACAGAAAGGUCAAUUUGUUGGAGAUGGAACUUCUAAUACUAUAGAAUCUCAUCCCAAAGACUCAUUACACUCUUGUGACCGUCCUCUUGCCGAAAAAACCCAGUUCACAGUGAGUACAUUGGAUGAUGUGAAGAAUUCUGGCAGUAUUCGAGACAAUUAUGUUCGAACUUCUGAAAUAUCUGCUGUCCACAUUGAUACAGAGUGUGUUUCAGUUAUGCUGCAAGCUGGUACACCUCCUUUACAAGUAAAUGAAGAAAAAUUUCCAGCAGAGAAAGCAAGGAUAGAAAAUGAAAUGGACCCUUCAGAUAUUUCAAAUGUGAGUGCUGCUAACUUGUCCAUGGCAGAAGUCCUUGCUAAAAAAGAAGAGCUAGCAGAUCGUCUAGAAAAGGCCAAUGAAGAAGCCAUUGCUAGUGCUAUUGCUGAAGAAGAACAGUUAACUAGAGAAAUUGAAGCUGAAGAAAACAAUGAUAUUAACAUUGAAACUGACAACGACAGUGAUUUUUCUGCCAGCAUGGGCAGUGGGAGUGUUUCUUUCUGUGGUAUGUCCAUGGACUGGAACGAUGUCCUUGCAGAUUAUGAAGCUCGUGAGUCUUGGCGCCAAAAUACAUCCUGGGGGGACAUUGUAGAAGAAGAACCUGCUAGACCUCCAGGGCAUGGAAUUCACAUGCAUGAAAAACUUUCUUCACCCUCUCGUAAAAGAACAAUUGCAGAAUCUAAGAAGAAACAUGAAGAAAAACAAAUGAAAGCACAGCAGCUAAGGGAAAAGUUACGCGAAGAGAAAACAUUGAAGCUUCAGAAAUUGUUAGAAAGGGAGAAGGAUGUCCGGAAGUGGAAGGAAGAAUUGCUAGAUCAACGACGCAGGAUGAUGGAAGAAAAAUUACUUCAUGCUGAGUUUAAGCGAGAAGUGCAGUUACAAGCAAUUGUGAAAAAAGCACAAGAAGAAGAAGCUAAGGUAAAUGAAAUUGCCUUUAUAAAUACCCUUGAAGCCCAGAAUAAACGUCAUGAUGUUUUAUCAAAAUUGAAGGAAUAUGAACAGAGGCUUAAUGAGCUACAGGAAGAACGUCAGAGAAGACAGGAAGAAAAGCAAGCACGUGAUGAAGCUGUGCAGGAACGCAAGAGAGCUCUAGAGGCAGAGCGGCAGGCCCGUGUAGAAGAAUUGUUAAUGAAGAGGAAAGAACAGGAAGCCCGAAUUGAACAACAGAGGCAAGAAAAGGAAAAAGCCCGUGAGGAUGCAGCCCGGGAAAGAGCUAGAGACAGGGAAGAACGAUUGGCAGCACUCACAGCUGCUCAACAAGAAGCUAUGGAAGAGUUACAGAAAAAAAUUCAGCUCAAGCAUGAUGAAAGUAUUCGAAGGCACAUGGAACAGAUUGAACAAAGAAAAGAAAAAGCUGCUGAGCUAAGCAGUGGGCGACAUGCAAAUACUGAUUAUGCCCCCAAACUGACCCCUUAUGAAAGAAAGAAGCAGUGUUCUCUCUGCAAUGUCCUGAUCUCUUCAGAGGUAUAUCUUUUUAGCCAUGUUAAAGGGAGAAAACACCAGCAAGCCGUGAGAGAGAAUACCAGCAUCCAGGGGCGUGAACUUUCAGAUGAAGAAGUGGAGCAUCUUUCCUUGAAGAAGUACAUUAUUGACAUUGUGGUUGAAAGUACAGCUCCAGCAGAAGCUUUGAAAGAUGGAGAAGAGCGGCAAAGAAAUAAAAAAAAAGCCAAAAAGAUAAAAGCCCGGAUGAACUUCAGGGCUAAGGAAUAUGAGAGUUUAAUGGAAACCAAAAAUUCUGGCUCUGAUUCACCUUAUAAAGCAAAGCUUCAGCGAUUAGCCAAAGAUCUUCUAAAACAACUACAAGUUCAAGACAGUGGCUCAUGGGCAAACAAUAAAGUGUGUGCUUUGGAUCGGACCCUAGGAGAGAUCACUAGAAUACUGGAAAAAGAGAAUGUGGCAGAUCAGAUUGCAUUUCAAGCUGCUGGUGGAUUAACAGCCCUUGAACACAUCCUUCAAGCAGUAGUCCCAGCCACAAAUGUGAACACAGUUUUAAGAAUUCCUCCUAAGUCUCUCUGCAAUGCAAUCAAUGUUUACAACCUCACCUGCAAUAACUGUUCAGAAAACUGCACUGAUGUUCUGUUUAGUAACAAGAUUACCUUCUUAAUGGACCUCCUGAUACACCAGUUGACGGUUUAUGUUCCAGAUGAAAAUAAUACUAUUUUGGGAAGAAAUACAAAUAAACAAGUUUUUGAAGGCUUGACAACUGGACUUCUUAAAGUCAGUGCUGUGGUUUUGGGCUGCCUGAUUGCCAAUCGACCAGAUGGAAACUGCCAGCCAGCUACCCCAAAAAUACCAACACAGGAAAUGAAAAACAAACCCUCACAAGGUGAUCCUUUUAACAAUCGAGUUCAGGACCUUAUCAGCUACGUGGUGAACAUGGGUCUGAUUGACAAACUGUGUGCCUGCUUCCUCUCGGUGCAAGGCCCAGUGGAUGAGAAUCCCAAGAUGGCCAUAUUUCUGCAGCAUGCCGCAGGACUCUUACAUGCAAUGUGUACACUGUGCUUUGCUGUCACUGGAAGGUCAUACAGCAUAUUUGACAAUAAUCGCCAGGAUCCCACAGGGCUGACAGCUGCUCUUCAGGCAACCGACCUGGCUGGAGUUCUUCAUAUGCUCUACUGUGUCCUCUUCCAUGGCACCAUCUUGGACCCCAGCACUGCCAGUCCCAAGGAGAAUUACACUCAAAAUACCAUCCAAGUGGCCAUUCAGAGUUUACGUUUCUUCAACAGCUUUGCAGCUCUUCAUCUGCCUGCUUUUCAGGUACCAAGUAUUGGUUUAUAUCGAUGUUAACCAAUCAAGAGUUAGUAUUUUAGUGUAGAUAGGAUGUCAGAUUCUUCUCCUGAAUUGGGGCAUAAGGAAUAAACUACAUUAAAUGGAAUUAUAAUAUAUAUUAUAAUUUAUUAAACUACUAUUUUCUGGGAACUGUAUUAGAUGAUCUAUAACAUCUAGCAUUCUCAUUUAUUCUCAUAGCUACCAUGCAAAGUAUUAUUAUACCCAUUUUACAGAUAGAGAAGCUGACAGUUAAGUAAUUUGCCCAAGGUUACAUGUUUGUGAACCAGGACUAGUAACCAUGACUCUCCCACCCCAAAGCCUUUGUUCAUCCUUUGCCAUGCUGCUAUUUAUAAAUCUUUUGUCUGGAAUUCUUUAUAUCAGGACAUUAUCAUCUCAUCAACUUUUAAAUAUUAAGGAAAGUAAUGGUUUCUUACAUAAAUAGAACCAAAAUUAGAUAAAUUGAUUGAUAUGACUUUCUACGGAUGGUUUAGCUGAUUUUGUGUCCAAUGUAAAGUGUAUAACUAGCUUUACAGGGAUUUGCAUCUUUAGCUAUUAAGUUUUUAUAGCUAAAGAAAGAAGAAUUGCUUUAUGCUAUAACACCAGACUGUCAGCCUGGAAACAGAUUUUUUUUUUCAUGUAGGAAAUUUAAUUUUCAAAAACACUGAACCUUUGGAACAGAGCAAGCCCCAAGGAAUAGACUUUCUCUUUCAGUUUAUUAACUGUCAAGUGAUUUCAUUAAAAAAGGAACAAAUUUGGCAGAUGAUGAACCCAUAAUUUAGAUGAAUUGCUUUGCUCCGAGGGAGAAAGGUUAUAGAGAAACAAAUGUAUGAAAAUAGUGGACUUUGCCAUUCUGAGAUGAGAAGAAUACUUCUAUAUUGUAGCUGAUGACAAAUGUGCCGUUCUUUAAUUGAUGUCUUCCUGUCAUUUUGUUCAAAAAAGGAAACUUGUGACUAAGUUGUAUCAUUGGAUCUAGUAUCUUUCAACUUUGUAGAAUUAGUUUAUCUGUCACAAGAACAGAAAUCCCUUCCUUUGGGUUAAUGCUUUUCUGUCUCCAGAGCAGUUGAACUAGCCUUAGGUGGUAACUGACUGCACAAUACGUAGAGUUCUGGGAGGUUACAGCCACAUAUAAAUGAGAGAUAUCUGCUCCAAAAAAUGUCAGUAGUUCUUGCCUCAGGGUUGAACAUAACAUCUGUGCUUUAUGAAGACGUAAGCCCACCGUAUUCUGUCUAGAAACAGUUUGGAAAUCAGGGAACCUUAACUUUACAUGCUCAGGAUACGGAGUCCACCAGUCUACCCAUCAGCUGGGUCGAAAGGGAGUGAUUUCUUUUGUUAACAGAUUAUGGAAUAGCAAAUAUCUAAAAACUGUCUCUUAGCUUCCUGUUUCACGGGUCUUCUUGGCCAACAUUUAUACUGCUACAGGGGACUCUAUAUCAUAAACAAGCAUCUAGGAUAAGUCAGCUGUUCGGUCAGUCACUCCAUCAGGGAGCCCUAGGUCCCUGCUCCCUGCCCCUCUCCUCCUGUGAACUUGUGGCCUGUGCAGGCUCACUCUCAAAGACGCACCACUGAACUUCACCAGACCUGCUCCCUAGUGCCUUUAAGCCUAAAGGGCUUAAUAAUGGGCGAUAAUGUCAAGUGAUUUCAUUAAAAAAGGAAAAAG